rnacentral:lncRNA from 1 species
UCUUGUUUCUAUUCUUUUAAUCGCUCCCUUCCUGGGUUUUAUAUUGCACGCCCGGUCUUCCAGCGUCAUGGUUACUGUAGUAAACAAACUGAAGGUCUGAAUGCAUCUUUUUCUCCCCCUGUAGCAUGAAGAGCAGUUCGCGGUAUCCGGUAGAUAGGAAGCACAAAUAGGCUCUCCUGUUCGUCCUCCAGGGGCCCACGCUAGCCCCUCACCUCCCCUGAAGCCUUUUCUAACCGCUGCGGCCUCCGUGGUCCCCCACGCCUGUGUUCCUGUAGGACGUUUACAGUUCACACGAUGUCUCAUCUCUCGGUAUAUGUCUCCCAGAAACGAAAAUGGACGGCCAUAUGUCACAAGAGAAUGAAAUCUUUGCUCCCAAUCCCUGUCUUCAGAGCUGACCUAGAAGCCAGCCACUCCACUCAGACCCAAUUCGGAUCACUAUGUUCGUGAGGACUUUAACAGCAUCAGGAUUACAAGAAAAAACAAAGUAUUGUAGGUAAAAACAAUACAGCCAAGAAACGUCAUCUUAUGUUUAUACAUUUAGAAGCAUCCUUUGGAGCAGGAAGAACUUAAAUUCUAAAUCUCAAGAUAGCUAAAACAGAUGCACUAUUCCAAGGAGCCAGCAAGGAAAAUACAAUCCUGCUUCUCAAACACAUCCCCUGGAAUUGGUCGCAAGUUAUCUUCAGAGAAGAGAAUUGUCACCAGAUUAAGAGAGUAAAGGACCCGAUGACAAGCACGCCUGCAUUGCAUUCACAGGGCUGGCUUUCAGUUCUCCAAAAAAUUCAUGUCAUUGCCUAAAAAUUACUAAUGGAAAUUGGUACGCAGACAGAUACAAUACUGUUGUUGUUUUUGGUUGUGGUUUUACUUCUACUAAAGCCCACAGCACUGCUGAGGAAUUAUCCUCUGAACUGAAAAGUCCUAAAGUUAGGCUUGUAUUUGACUUCAAACAAUAAACCCCAUGCUGAAAAUGGCUUCAGCAGAUACAGCUCUUCCCUCCAGUGAGCAGGCAGUGAGGAGCAGGCAACCCAGUCUCCUUCUGACUUCCUGUUUAUGUUCCAAGCAGGAAGAAGGGAGAAAGACAAGAAUGCAAAAGGCAGAAUGGGCAUCCAGUCUCAUCUGUCCGUUUUAAAAGCUUUCCUAGAAGCUCUACCCAGCAACUCCCACGCCCAUCUCAUUGACGAGAACUGGGUCACAUGACCACUACUCCUGGCGAAGGAGUCUAAGAGGUGAAUGUUUUCAUCUUCUUACUUCUCCAUUAGAGGAAAGCAGGGAGAAAGGAGUUGUGUGUGCCAGUGGGGCCAGUUCACAAUGUUUGCCACACUAGGGCUAUAAGAGAUCUUGGGUAAUUCUGCAAAUCUGUUUUUCUGCCCCACAUAAGAUUAUUUCCCAAAGAUAAUGCUCUCCUUUAGAGUAUGUGGUGAAUGCUGCAAUACAGAAAAGGAUCUCUUGCCCCUCACCCCUUCACAGCAGAACAAAACAGCAAGACUUUCCUUUUAGAAAGCAGAUGCCUUGGGAGCUACUUCACCUGGGGCCAAACGUAUCCUCUCAGCAGCAGAGGUGAUUAUUUUUCUUAAUUACUAUUGCUUUGCAUCUUGUUAUGUGAGCUGUCAGCGUCUUAAUUUAGCUGAUGACUUUCUACAAUCAUUUUAGAUUUAUUUGGUACCUAAUUUACUUAACAUAGCUUUUGCUGUGAAAGUUAAUCCGAGGCCCAAAAACUCUUAAUAAGCUCAAUAUUUUACAGUGAACACUACCCUGAGGAUUGCUUUAUGAAAAUGAUGACAAGGCGCAGGGUCUGUAGCUUUCAGAAUCAAUAAGUCACUGACUAAUGAAUUAGAAAGGUCUUGAACUUCUACUUCAGUGCAGGCUUCAUGUACCAGAUGCACAAAUGAGCAUUAGUAAAUGGAGCUGGUUCUUAGUAGAAAAUUUCCAUUAAUCCAACACCGAGUGUAGAAGAAUCUCUGUAGUCUUGUAAAUAGACUUAAGAAUAAUUAUUAAGAAUUAAGAAUUAUUGUGAUUAAUUAAUUAAUUAAAAUGAUACUGGUUUUGCCACCAUUUCUUCAGGUAUUUCUCUUAAGAUGAAACUGUUUUGUUUUUCUGUUUCUACCAGUCCUGACUUUUGAUAUCAAUGGAAAUCAGCUUAGCAAAAACAAACAAAACAAAACAAAACAAAACACCCCUUUGAGCUAUCUCUCUCCAUAUACCACUUAGGGGUGAGUUCAAAAUGCAGGGACCCCUUCUGUGUAUUUUACAAUCCAAGACUGAAAAUACAAAUGAAGAGGAACACAGAGCAAUCAUAAAACAGGCAUACCACUUGACAAUGCAGCUAGCUGCCCCACCGACUGGAGCACCUCACGUGUGUG